CGCGCCAAACCGAACCGUUCGAUUUCAACAUUCCACUGAGAUGACGUUGUUGAUUGGUGCAUUCAAGUGUCCCACGAAUGGUCUUACAGUCAAUCCUACGAAUCAGUGGGCGUAAGCAAUGAUGUCAUCACGGGAUAAGGACGAGCGAACGAUUGGGUAAGCGGAUGCGUCGGUGCGCAUAGCUGGCACGACCAAUAAUUCCAUGCCACGCGGUUGCAUGGCUGCCGUUGUUGACGCACCGUUUCGAUCCAUCCGUCCGUCUCGUCUCCCCCCUCAAUAAAUGCCCUCCUCUUGGAUUCAUCAAACCCUAGGGUUCAUCCGCAGCCGCUUCUUCUCGUUAGAUGGCGGUCGUCGGGGAAUCAUCGGAUCCCGCUAAACAUGGUUAUCAGGAUCAGUCGACUCGUUGUCGAUCUGUAUCUUGUUGUGGAACCCGAGCAUGUGUAUCUCAUCUCGUCGCUACAGGAUUUCGGACGUAGGACGGAUCCUUGGAUGAUUACCCAGGCAUAGCCAUGGAGUUCAUGGAUCAAACUUUGUUUAGCGGUAUUAUAUCAAAUCGCGUUGCAGAUCUGGUUGUUCGUCUCGCUAUUUCUCGCUAUGCGAAGAAGAUCUGGUUGUUCGCCUGUUGCUGAGUUGAUCUCAUUAUGUCUCUUAGUUUAAGUAUUUGGAACUAGAGAUAUGGUUAUCGGGUUCUUUCCCAACAUGUGGGCGAGGAAUGGUGGGUAUCUCCAUGGAGGGUAAGGUAAUUUACGGAUCAUGUUUGGUGAUGCAUCUAGGGUUUGUCGACACGACCUUUGCCAUGUUGGGUGCGCUCGCAUGGCAGGUCAUAGACACAAUAAAAAUCAUUUUUUUGUGUGUUUGGGGAUCGCAUGGGGUGACUUUUAGACCCUGGGUUCCCCUAUGUGUUGUUGUUUUCUUGUUUGUGUUGUUCCUUGCUACCACAGUCCAUCUGCACUAUCCCCAUGUGAAUGUUCUAUCUGCAAUCAUGACAUACCACGAGUUCUACAUCUCAAUAGGCGAUUUCACCUCUGUAAAUCUGAGUCCAUCAGAGAAUAAUGAUCUUCGAGCAACGAAUUUUAUAGAUCAAUCAUCUAUUUCGUCCCAGCUAUACUGAGUCCUUCAGAAAGGAAAGUCUGCAAAUCCCCAGGAAUCAAAUUACCAUGUUAGGCCAAGAUGCACGCCGCAGUUAUGUAUAACGAUUUCCAAGGUACUGAUUCCACAUAUUGUUCAUGUUGUCGCCUUACAAGUUGUAUAAAAAAACUGCUGUUUUGAUUUAUGUGAUGCUACAUAUUUAGAACAUGGCCCUUCGCUUUAUGAUUCUAGUUCUCUUUUCGUUACUUGUUAAUUUUUUCGAACAUGUUCCUUGUUGUAUAGUGGGUCUCUAUUGUGGAUGUAUGCUCUUAGGACUUUUACUGUAGUUGAGAUCUCAUGUAGCUUUAUUUGGUUGUCAUGUCUUCACUUCCACAUGUAUGCUUUCCAAGUUACUUAGUGCGAUGGUGUAUUUUGUUGC